rnacentral:tRNA from 1 species
CCUGGUAGCUCAGACGGUAAAGCAUCUGCCUACAAUGCUGAAGACCCAGGUUCGAUCCCUGGGUCAGGA